rnacentral:rRNA from 1 species
CACAGCGGUGGAGCAUGUGUUUAAUUCGAUGCAACGCGAGAACCUUACCUACUCUUGACAUCCAGAGACUUUCCAGAGAUGGAUUGGUGCCUUCGGGAACUCUGAGACAGGUGCUGCAUGGCUGUCGUCAGCUCGUGUUGUGAAAUGUUGGGUUAAGUCCCGCAACGAGCGCAACCCUUAUCCUUUGUUGCCAGCGGUUAGGCCGGGAACUCAAAGGAGACUGCCAGUGAUAAACUGGAGGAAGGUGGGGAUGACGUCAAGUCAUCAUGGCCCUUACGAGUAGGGCUACACACGUGCUACAAUGGCGCAUACAAAGAGAAGCGACCUCGCGAGAGCAAGCGGACCUCAUAAAGUGCGUCGUAGUCCGGAUUGGAGUCUGCAACUCGACUCCAUGAAGUCGGAAUCGCUAGUAAUCGUGGAUCAGAAUGCCACGGUGAAUACGUUCCCGGGCCUUGUACACACCGCCCGUCACACCAUGGGAGUGGGUUGCAAAAGAAGUAGGUAGUCUUAACCUUCCGGGAGGGCGCUUACCACUAUGUGAUUCAUGAGCU